AUUUAAAUAGUUUAUGAAUAAAAUUUUGAUUUGUGAUAUCAAAGAAAAGAUUAGUCUUUUUAAAUA
rnacentral:tRNA from 1 species